CUGUGUGAAUGCAAGUGUGCACA
rnacentral:rRNA from 7 species